rnacentral:lncRNA from 1 species
CAUAUUUGUAUAAACAUCACUUUUAACCUUUAUUUUACUUAAAAAGAAGAACAAGUCAAAGAGUUUGUAAAAUCCUUCAGGUCACAUUUCCAGGGCUUAACAUCCCUAAAUGUUAAGAAAUCUUACUGUAUGAAAAUUCUUAAACAUUCCCAAACUUAAAAAUUUUUUCCCCUACAGAUUUUGGUCAUGCAACUUGUUGAGUUCACUUAGGACUCAGAUACCUGCUUCUUAUUCUCUGGUUCCCACAUAAGAAAGCAGUCCCAAAGACAGGAAGUCAGUGGCAUCAAGCUGGCCGGAUGAGCCAUGUUGCCAUCAAGCCAAUUAACAAGACAUGCCCAGAUAGUGAGCCAUCUGGUUUUUACUUCUAGUUGGAGAACUGUCUCCUCUCAUUUGAUACAGAGGCAGUUCUUAGUCAGAAGUUCUAUGGCAGGGAUUCCUAAAAUAGGAUGGAAAGUCCACAGUUUACAAAACUCAGAUUCCUGAGCCUAACCCCAGAAAUCUCUCUGAAUCUGGAGGUGAAAAACUCCUCAGGUGACAGCACCCUCAGGUUUUUUUCUUUCCAUGACAAUCCUGAGCUUUAUUCACAUAGAUGCCCGGCUUCCACGAAGAACCCUGUGUAAUUUAGCCAGGGGAUAUGUAUAU